rnacentral:rRNA from 1 species
CACGUAGGGUGCGAGCGUUGUCCGGAAUUAUUGGGCGUAAAGAGCUCGUAGGCGGUUUGUCACGUCUGCUGUGAAAUCCCGAGGCUCAACCUCGGGCCGCAGUGGGUACGGGCAGACUGGAGUGCGGUAGGGGAGAAUGGAAUUCCUGGUGUAGCGGUGGAAUGCGCAGAUAUCAGGAGGAACACCGAUGGCGAAGGCAGUUCUCUGGGCCGUAACUGACGCUGAGGAGCGAAAGCGUGGGGAGCGAACAGG